ACUGCUCAGUAACACGUGGACAACCUGCCCAAAGGUCCGGGAUAACCCCGGGAAACUGGGGAUAAUAUUGGAUAAAUCACAAGUACUGGAAGGUUUUGUGGUUGAAACUUCCGGGGCCUUUGGAUGGGUCUGCGGCUGAUUAGGUUGUUGUCGGUGUAACGUACCGUCAAGCCUGUAAUCAGUACGGGUUGUGGGAGCAAGAGCCCGGAGAUGGAUUCUGAGAUACGAAUCCAGGCCCUACGGGGCGCAGCAGGCGCGAAAACUCUACAAUGCAGGUAACUGCGAUAGGGGAACAUCGAGUGAUACUCAUCUUGGGUGUCUGUCCUCCCGUCUAAAAAACGGGAGUUAGCAAGGGCCGGGCAAGACCGGUGUUAGCCGCCGUGGUAAUACCGGCGGCUCGAGUGGUGGCCGAUAUUAUUGAGUCUAAAGGGUCCGUAGCCGGCUUUGCAAGUCUUUUGGGAAAUCCAGCGGUUUAACCGUUGGGCGUCCGGGAGAUACUACAUUGCUUGGGACUGGGAGAGGUAGGAGGUACUCAGGGGGUAGGAGUGAAAUCCUGUAAUCCUUUGGGGACCGCCGGUGGCGAAGGCGUCCUACCAGAACAGGUCCGACGGUGAGGGACGAAAGCUAGGGGUAUGAACCGGAUUAGAUACCCGGGUAGUCCUAGCCGUAAACGAUGCUCGCUAGGUGUCACAACAAUCGUGAAUUGUUGUGGUGCCGUAGGGAAGCCGUGAAGCGAGCCACUUGGGAAGUACGACCGCAAGGUUGAAACUUAAAGGAAUUGGCGGGGGAGCAC
rnacentral:rRNA from 1 species